AUUGAACGCUGGCGGCAGGCCUAACACAUGCAAGUCGAACGAGUGGCGGACGGGUGAGUAAUGUCUGGGAAACUGCCUGAUGGAGGGGGAUAACUACUGGAAACGGUAGCUAAUACCGCAUACCAUCGGAUGUGCCCAGAUGGGAUUCGCUAGUAGGUGGGGUAAAGGCUCACCUAGGCGACGAUCCCUAGCUGGUCUGAGAGGAUGACCAGCAAAACUGUAACGGAGACACGGUCCAGACUCCUACGGGAGGCAGCAUUGGGGAAGAUUGCACAAGGGGCGAAAGCCGGAUGCAGCCAGGCCGCGUGUAUGAAGAAGGCCUUCGGGUUUUAAAGUACUUUCAGCGGGGAGGCGUUACCCGCAGAAGAAGCACCGGCUAACUCCGUGCCAGCAGCCGCGGUAAUAC
rnacentral:rRNA from 1 species